rnacentral:rRNA from 1 species
AACGGAGGGUGCAAGCGUUGUUCGGAAUUACUGGGCGUAAAGCGCGUGCAGGUGGUUUUUUAAGUUUCGUGUGAAAUCCCAUGGCUUAACCAUGGAACGGCACGGAAAACUGGAAGGCUAGAGUACGGGAGAAGAGGGCGGAAUUCCCAGUGUAGAGGUGAAAUUCGUAGAUAUUGGGAGGAACACCGGUGGCGAAAGCGGCUCUCUAGACCGAUACUGACGCUCAUACGCGAGAGCGUGGGUAGCAAACAGG